UGUUUUGAUACUCUCUAUUCAAGGUCAAGGCUCUAGUUACAUGUUAAGAACUUAGCCAAUUUCUUGUUGGUAGUUAGGAGUUGUUACCGUGAACAAGGGAAGACAUGUGUCUUCAGCUACGCUCCACUCUCUACACUCUCGAGCCCCCAUGGUGGAAUGAUUAACCACAUGGAGCAUUAGGAGCAUGGAGCGAGACCAGGUGUUUUUCAGAAUGAUUCUUCCUACCUUCAGAGAGACUUGCUCUUUCCUCCCUCUGAAUCGUGUCUCCACUCCUUUAACUCUGCCUCCUCCACGCCACUCCACCACCUGGAAAAUACCUCCCCACCUUUUAAGACACAACUGGAAACUGUCACCACAUCUUCUGCCUCUGGAACAACUGCAAGCAUGGGCUGUGGCCACCCCCUCUGUGACCCUGCAAGGCUCUGUGCCCAACCUCUCCACAAGCUUUUACCACGGAUGGAUCGAUCUGUGGGGCAGCUGGGCGCCAAAGAUGACCUUGAACAAUUCUGCCUCUUCCUGCACACACCUUCCCCUGCCCCCACCAAGAAUCAGGGCCCAUUUCCUCUCUCCUUGAAUUGUGGUGAGGCCUGUGGCUGCUUUGAGGAAAUGAUCCAUUCCAGGACGGCACCUCCUGCUUCUUCCAUCUUGGAACCCUCGCUAUUGGGGUGCUCCUUGGAAUCCAGCCACCAUGCCUUGAAAAGCCCAAACUGCAUAGCAGGCCCCAUCUCUGUUCCACUCUCUGCUGCUGGCCAUGUAAGUAAGUCAUCUCAGACAUCCUGGCCGGCCUGGCCCCCAGGGGACUGAAGCCCCAGCCAACACCACGUGGAGCAGAGGAAUGACCAG